GGGGGCGAUAGGGUUCGACGGAGGUUAUGAGGUCUAGGUCGCAUGCCGUGGUCCUGUCACCACGAUAAAAGGCAGGAAACAAACACAAAAGCCAACACUGAAUUGGCACUCGCUGCUUAAUUAAAGCAGCACGCUUCGCUGUGUUUGCCUGUGACACAGCAGAGGCGUCGGGAAGCAGGCUGGUCUGAAGGUCUUCCCCUUAAUCUUCAGGCGAGACUUAAAGGGGUAGGAAUGAGGAAGGCCCGCUUACUGGCAUACCUCAGUCCGAAACUCAAAUAAGUAAGAUAAGCAUGUAGACACUUAGAUGUAGUGCUUCCGGACGCGGGUUCAAUUCCCGCCGCCUCCACCA
rnacentral:tmRNA from 1 species